GAGCCACCAGCUAAACUGUACACAGUAGAUUUUUUCAUAUAUGUGAGGAUAAAUCUCUAAUCUCCACGUUACUGGAAGCUAAUGAGCUCUGCUCCUCCUGACUUGCUCUCUCUCAAAAUACUAAUCUGAGAAAUUACUUGGUUAAACGAAAAUGUCUUCUCUGCAACUCUCAGGUUGCAGAGCGUCUGAUAUCUCAUCAACACCCCUCGUUUUUGGCGCCGCUUCGUCUUCGUUUUGGAGUAGAUGCUCCAGUCUCUCCAACGGAAUAGUUAUCUCUACUCUCCGGCCUAAGCAGAAGGUUCGUUUCUGUGGAGGAGGAGUACUACUUAGGGUUUACGCCGUGUCGAGCGAUUCGUGUUCUUCGUUCAAGAUGAAUCUCAACGAGUACAUGGUCACUCUCGAUAAACCUCUCGGUAUUCGUUUCGCAUUAUCCGUAGAUGGCAAAAUCUUUGUCCAUUCUCUCAAAAAAGGGAGUAAUGCGGAGAGAUCGAGGAUAAUUAUGGUCGGGGACACACUGAAGAAGGCGAGUGAUUCAUCUGGUGGCAGGCUUAUUGAGAUCAAGGACCUUGGUGAUAUGCAGAAGAUGCUGACAGAGAAGACAGGUUCAUAUAGCCUUGUUCUUGAAAGGCCUUUUUAUCCCUUUCCAAUUCAACUACUGCAUCUUUCGAGUGAUCUUGAUAAUUUGUAUAAUAGAGGUCGUGCAGCUAUUGCCACUUGGAACAAAUCUGUCUUGGCAUCAAAUUUAGAAAAGUUUCCAGAAGGCAGUAGAAAUUCUGGUUUUGUAAUGUUCUCCUCAAGGUUUCAAUCACCGCAUGGAUGGAAGCUUCUAAAUAAUCAAAAUGUACACGUUCAACCGUUGGCACAGAAGAAUAUUCUAGCACCAUCUGUUACCCAAGUUGUUUCUAUUUUUUCAGAAGAAGAGCCAGGCAGUGGGGAAUGGAGUCAUGGGAACUUUCCUCUGGAGGAAUACACAAAAGCUCUUGAACGCUCAAAAGGCGAGCUAUACUAUAAUCAUUCUCUUGGAAUGCACUACAGUAAGAUUACAGAGCAAAUAUAUGUGGGGUCAUGCAUACAGACAGAAGCUGAUGUAGAAACUCUAUCAGAUGCUGGAAUCAGUGCUGUAAUCAAUUUUCAAAGUGCAACUGAAGCAGAAAAUUGGAGAAUCAAUUACAAAAUGAUCACCAAAUCAUGCCAAAAGUUCAAUAUCUUAAUGGUUAACUAUCCUAUAAGGAAUGCAGAUUCGUUUGAUAUGAGGAAGAAAUUGCCAUUCUCUGUGGGGCUCUUGUUGCGCUUGCUUAAAAGGAACCAUCGUGUUUUCAUUACCUGUACUACCAGUUUUGAUCGAUCUCCUGCUUGUGUGAUUGCAUAUCUACACUGGAUGACUGAUACUUCCCUUCACGCAGCUUAUAAUUUUGUAGUUGGAUUGCAUUCUUGCAAACCUGACAGAGCAGCAAUUGCUUGGGCAACCUGGGAUCUUAUAGCUAUGGUAGAAAAUGGCAAACAUGACGGACCAGCAACUCAUGCUGUGACCUUUAUAUGGAAUGGGCAUGAGGGGGAGGAUGUAUGCUUGGUCGGAGAUUUUACUGGAAAUUGGAAAGAACCAAUUAAGGCAACUCACAAGCUUGGACCAAGAUGUGAAACUGAGGUUAGAUUACCACAAGGGAAGUACUCCUAUAAGUAUAUCAUUAAUGGGCAAUGGCGACAUUCAACAUCUUCACCGACAGAAAGAGAUGAAAGGGGGAACGUAAAUAAUGUAAUUGUUGUUGGUGAUACAGCCAGUGUGAGGCCUUCUAUUCAACAACAAAAGAAGGAUGCAAAUAUUAUAAAGGUGAUAGAGAGACCAUUAACAGAAAAUGAACGCUUUACGUUGGCAAAGGCUGCUCGGUGCAUUGCGUUCUCUGUCUGUCCCAUCAGACUAUGCCCCAAGUAAUCUGCAAGAGUACAGUGACAUGAUGACUGUUGAUACGUUCGUUCACAGCUAAAACUUUUUGAAAUACUUUGUCAAUGCUAAAAGUCAUUAUAGCAUCAAUCCUAUAUCUUAAAGGCAAAUGUCAUGAUGGGUGAUUUGCCAUUAUGAUAUCCAAUGUUCUCCUUUAUUCGAGUGUGGGAUAACUCAAAAAUAUUGGUGUUAGCGUGAUGAAUCAAAUCUGAAGAUGACAGGACAAAGUACUCUUGCAUGUAAAAAAGUGUAAUUUGAUGAACUAAGGUGGACUGCUAACAUGCGUAACACAUGAAAUGUUUUCAAAAGAGAGAUACUCUGUAUUUGGAUAUGCAGGUAUUAUCAUAUCAACUUCAGUGUUGUGCCUGUCAGUUUUAUUGAAAAUGGCAAAAGAAAGGUCGCUGCAUGGAGAGUGGUGGUGUGAUAUUUGCCGUACGUUCUCAUACUUGGGGUAGUUUACUAAUCUUUAGAUUCUAAUACGUUUUGUUACUUAGUUUUGUUUGCUUAUUUGGAUUAGUUAUGAGCU